rnacentral:rRNA from 1 species
CAGUAGCCGCGGUAAGACGAACCGUGCGAACGUUAUUCGGAAUCACUGGGCUUAAAGCGCGUGUAGGCGGGCCGCCACGUCGGCUGCUGAAAUCCCCCGGCUCAACCGGGGAAGUGGCACCGAUACGAGCGGCCUCGAGGGGGGUAGGGGGGACUGGAACUUCCGGUGGAGCGGUGAAAUGCGUUGAGAUCGGAAGGAACGCCCGUGGCGAAAGCGAGUCCCUGGACCCUUUCUGACGCUGAGACGCGAAAGCCAGGGGAGCGAACGGGAUUAGAGACCCCCGUAGUCCCUGUCUCUUAUA